CAGCACCUGCGGGCAGCUCUCAAAUGAUAAUUACUGAGGCUCCACAGGACGCAGUGGUGGAGACGCCACUCACCUUCCGUGUCGGGCAGCAUCCCUUCGGCAGCGUCGGCAUAGCCUUCACCGCAGCCCAACGAGCCAAACAUCCAAUACUCAGGUGGUGCACUGACGACAGCGCAGAUUGCAGGUUGCCCCUCCGCCGACUGAUGGCCUGCUCGUGCAUAUUGAAAGCUACUGUGGCAAAGACUGCCGUCUUGCCCCCAUGGCCUCUCACCGCAGACGACUUGUUUACGGGGAGAUGCGUAGGACCGACGCUUUCAACAAAGUCACCGUACAGCAGAAAAUGGGUGACGAAACGACUGCGGCCACUUUGAAGACAGCGCACAGCACCACACUAGACGAAGAACGGCUCCAUGUCCCGUUGUGGGCGGCGCUCUGCGGGCGCACAGUGCAUGUCUGCCUCGAUUUCGUAAAAGGAGGUAGUGCAUCCCGCUCGCUACUUCUCUACCAUCACGCUUUGAUAAGCGCGGCUCAGAGGUUGCUUUUCUUUUGCUUUUUCCCCUUUCACACUAACGGCAACUUGUUCCUGCCCCAUUCGGAAAUUGAUGCCCUCUGGUACUGCGUUUCGCAAUCUCUUUUCUGUCUGAGAGACCCAUGGAGCGCACCGCGAGCUGCACCUGGAUCCCUUUAAUGCCGCCCAUUUACCGCUCUGCUGCAGCCCACCACAUCUUGAGGAAAUUUACAUCCACACCAACAUAGGAAACCUCGAUGGGGUCAAUUUCGCCCUGGCGGCUCAGCUACCGUCUCUGAAUAUGGGUGCCGAUAGUUUUUUGUAUGUGGUCGACUUGUCGCGCUGCCCAGCGCUGGAUGCGUAUAGCAUUCCCACUACGUCGCUUCCCAGCUCUGUCUUUGCUGUUGAAGCCCCUUUGCUGCGGACGGUGGCCGCUGCCUGGAGUGGGCUGCGCAACUUCAUCGCAGUCGCUUCAUAAGGAACGCUGGAAAGUGGUUCUGUUCUGUGGUGCCAGCUUUUACACUCGCUCCCUCCACUGCAGAAGGCGCCUCAUCUGCUCUGCAUCAAUGCUAUGGGCGGCUGUUUGACCAUCGUGGUCGGACCAGGCUGUUGUGCAAUGUUGGAACAACUUGAACUGACGAACUGCGAAAGGCAAGCCCAUUUCAUGCCCCCUUGCUGACGCACUACAGCCCCGUCAUCUUAGUAUGUCGGAUACAGCCGUGCGGAACUGAGCACCGCUGCAAAAUCGCUCUUUUCUCUAAGAGCUGAAUGCUUCGCGGCGCACAGAGCUGGUGGACCUGCCACUUCACAGUGAGGCUUCCAAGUCAAAACCUCUGGUGGCCCGAUUCAGCGGAGUGAACGACAUAUUGGGUCUCAACAUCUAUAAUACUCAGCACCACCUGGAUGAUAUCCUAUGUGAUUAGCUUGUUAUGUUUUCCUCUUCCUAGGGUGAUGGCGCUUCCCGCUCUGGGGAUCAAAGCCGAUUCGGCGAGCGAUUUCGCGGGCCUUGAGACAGCUCACCGAGGAUACAUGAUUUGCGUCGCUGCUUCGUUUUGCCAGUUGUUCCAGUAACUGUAAAUGCGCUUCCUGCUGAAUCGGCUGCCCACAAUCUCUUUUCUCAUUGUUUUUCCUCGUGAAGCAGGGCUGUUGUCCGCUGCUGCACAGGUGUCUGACCUGCGUUCUGCACGGCUGUCUUUUAAGCUUUGAGUUUCGAAAGCGUGCUUGCGAUGCAGUCGCACUUCUCCCCUUUGUGGGUGGACUUGCCUCACAUCACUCAGAGGAUGCAUUAUGCCACCCCAAUGCGUUUCGUACGUGAUCGGCAUUUUUUUUCCUUACCCGCAACGUUCGCUAAUCCGGAGGAUGGAAAAAACCAACUACACAGGAGUCAAAAACACAUUUUGCUCCACUCUCCUCACCAUUCUUCUGUGUCGCUCGCAAUAG
rnacentral:misc_RNA from 1 species